rnacentral:rRNA from 1 species
GACGAACGCUGGCGGCGUGCUUAACACAUGCAAGUCGAACGGAAAGGCCCUGCGUUUGUUGGUUGCUCGAUUGGCGAACGGGUGAGUAACACGUGAGUAACCUGCCCUUGACUUUGUGAUAACUUCAGGAAACUGGGGCUAAUACCCGAUAUGAUCUCCUGCUGCAUGGUGUGGGUUGGAAAGUUCCGGCGGUUGUGGAUGGUCUCGCGGCUUAUCAGCUUGUUUGUGGGGUAGUUGCUUACCAGGGCUUUGACGGGUAGCCGGCCUGAGAGGGUGACCGGCGACAUUGCGCCUGCGAUAGGCAGCAGAAUGCUAUGGGAGGCAGCAGGCGGGAAUAUUGCACAAUGGGGGGACGCCUGAUGCAGCAAUGCUGCGUGCGGGAUGACGGCUUACGAGUUGUAAACCGCUUUCGAAUGUGACGAAGAGUGAGUGACGGUAAUGGGUAAAGAAGCACCGGCUAACUACGUG